rnacentral:rRNA from 1 species
AUCUAUCAUGCAGUCGAGCGGACAGAUGGGAGCUUGCUCCCUGAUGUUAGCGGCGGACGGGGAGUAACACGUGGGUAACCUGCCUGUAAGACUGGGAUAACUCCGGGAAACCGGGGCUAAUACCGGAUGGUUGUUUGAACCGCAUGGUUCAGACAUAAAAGGUGGCUUCGGCUACCACUUACAGAUGGACCCGCGGCGCAUUAGCUAGUUGGUGAGGUAACGGCUCACCAAGGCGACGAUGCGUAGCCGACCUGAGAGGGUGAUCGGCCACACUGGGACUGAGACACGGCCCAGACUCCUACGGGAGGCAGCAGUAGGGAAUCUUCCGCAAUGGACGAAAGUCUGACGGAGCAACGCCGCGUGAGUGAUGAAGGUUUUCGGAUCGUAAAGCUCUGUUGUUAGGGAAGAACAAGUGCCGUUCAAAUAGGGCGGCACCUUGACGGUACCUAACCAGAAAGCCACGGCUAACUACGUGCCAGCAGCCGCGGUAAUACGUAGGUGGCAAGCGUUGUCCGGAAUUAUUGGGCGUAAAGGGCUCGCAGGCGGUUUCUUAAGUCUGAUGUGAAAGCCCCCGGCUCAACCGGGGAGGGUCAUUGGAAACUGGGGAACUUGAGUGCAGAAGAGGAGAGUGGAAUUCCACGUGUAGCGGUGAAAUGCGUAGAGAUGUGGAGGAACACCAGUGGCGAAGGCGACUCUCUGGUCUGUAACUGACGCUGAGGAGCGAAAGCGUGGGGAGCGACAGGAUUAGAUACCCUGGUAGUCCCCGCCGUAAACGAUGAGUGCUAGUGUUAGGGGGUUUCCGCCCCUUAGUGCUGCAGCUACGCAUUAGC